UCUAAGCACAUGCCUUUAAACGGUGAAGCCGCGAAUAGCUCAUUACAACAGCCAUCGUUUAUUAGAAUAUCGUUAUCCUACUUGGAUAACUGUGGCAAUUCUAGAGCUAAUACAUGCAAUAAAGCUCUGCCCGCAAGGAACGAGCGCAUUUAUUAGAAUAAAAACCAAUCGGGUUUCGGCCCGUAAUUUGGUGAAUCUGAAUAACUUUGCCAAUCGCACAGUCCUAGUACUGGCGAUGUAUCUUUCAAGUGUCUGCCUUAUCAACUUUCGAUGGUACGCUAUACGCCUACCAUGGUAGUAACGGGUAACGGAGAAUAAGGGUUCGACUCCGGAGAGGGAGCCUGAGAAACGGCUACCACAUCCAAGGAAGGCAGCAGGCGCGCAAAUUACCCACUUCCAGAACGGAGAGGUAGUGACGAAAAAUAACGAGACAGUCCUCUUCGAGGUCUGUCAUCGGAAUGGGUACAAUUUAAA
rnacentral:rRNA from 1 species